UCCUUUUGCCUUGGUGGCUCCUUUUCCUUAGUGGUUCCUUUUGCCUUGGUGCUUCUUGUUGCAGCAACACUUGUUCAAAUUGUUGUUAAAUGGCACUUCGUAUAUCAGAAAGAAGGAAAGGAAGAACAAUACUAACCAAUGAGAAUAGGUACCUAACUGCAUUACACAAAACAAAGAAAAUGAAAAUCUCCUUAUCAAUCAGUUGUAAAAUUCUAAUGUAUAGUAAAUUAAUUCUGACAACUUUUCCUAUUUCCUAUUAAUCAUGUGUGAAAUACUUCCAAAGAACAUCUCAAAUUGAAAGAAGAAAUAUAUUUGAAUAUUUUUUUAAAUACCACCUUUGUGGUUUUAUUAUAGGUUGGUCUAAAAAGGUCAACCUAUAAUAAUGAUUUGAGUUCCAAUAUCCCAAGGCUAAUCAGGUCAACUACUUAAUAAUGAUAGGUUGUUUCUCAAUUUGUUGUGCAUGAUUUUUUUUGAUGAACCUAAUUCUCUAGUUCAAAUGGAUUUUUUAUGAUUUGUUGUACAUUCUUAUGUUGUGGUCUUCAACCGUAAACCACAAGUUAUUAUUCAUUACAGAAAAUGUAAAUAAAGAAUCAUUAAAAUGGUUUUGAAUUGCUAUGAUACUUGAUUGUUGCAUUAUGUUUUAUCACUUUAGAGAAAUUUACAUUUUAGAAUUUACAUAUCCAUUGAUUUUUUUAAUGUAGUUUUCUCUCAGUAAAGGCAAGUUAGGAAAAAAAAACAAAUAAAAAUUUUCUCCUAUUAUUUCAUACUUCAACAAAAAAAAAGGUAGCAUAAUGAAAGAAGAUGAGUGCACAAAACAACUUAAUGAAAGGGAAACCACUUAAGCCAAGUCAGCAAAAUGGCAAAUAAGACCACACUAGUCCAUGAUAGAGGGAGAGCAUGCCUCCCACAAAAGGCCAGCAUUUAUAAGUGCUCAAUUCAUUUUCCAAAUUCUCUAAACCCUUUUAACCAUGACAACAGAUUUAACUAAUCCACUGGUAUCCAAAAAUUUUAACUUGGGAGGACCAAAACUCUUAAGACAGUGAAAGGAAUAAAAAAAGUUGAAAUAUGGUUACCUAGUGACAUCACUCUGAUAUCUUCAAAUUUUCUUCAAACCAAAGUGGUUGAUAUGCAAUGGACUGAGCUCGUACUGUUCAAUUUCAGAGAAGCAUAACACUCUUUCAACUUGGCUUAUCAUAGUUGUC
rnacentral:lncRNA from 1 species